UACGUAGGGUCCGAGCGUUGUCCGGAAUUAUUGGGCGUAAAGGGCUCGUAGGCGGUUUGUCGCGUCGGGAGUGAAAUCUUACUGCUUAACUGUGAACUUGCUUUCGAUACGGGCAGACUUGAGGCAUUCAGGGGAGAACGGAAUUCCUGGUGUAGCGGUGAAAUGCGCAGAUAUCAGGAGGAACACCGGUGGCGAAGGCGGUUCUCUGGGAAUGUUCUGACGCUGAGGAGCGAAAGUGUGGGGAGCGAACAGG
rnacentral:rRNA from 1 species